rnacentral:rRNA from 1 species
GUGGGGAAUUUUGGACAAUGGGCGCAAGCCUGAUCCAGCAAUGCCGCGUGCAGGAAGAAGGCCUUCGGGUUGUAAACUGCUUUUGUACGGAACGAAACGGUCCGGGUUAAUACCCUGGGCUAAUGACGGUACCGUAAGAAUAAGCACCGGCUAACUACGUGCCAGCAGCCGCGGUAAUACGUAGGGUGCAAGCGUUAAUCGGAAUUACUGGGCGUAAAGCGUGCGCAGGCGGUUUUGUAAGACAGGCGUGAAAUCCCCGGGCUCAACCUGGGAAUUGCGCUUGUGACUGCAAGGCUGGAGUGCGGCAGAGGGGGAUAGAAUUCCGCGUGUAGCAGUGAAAUGCGUAGAUAUGCGGAGGAACACCGAUGGCGAAGGCAAUCCCCUGGGCCUGCACUGACGCUCAUGCACGAAAGCGUGGGGAGCAAACAGGAUUAGAUACCCGGGUAGUCC